GGUUGGGACCAUGAACACUUUUGUCCUUUGUGGGUCUUUUUGCGGUCUGGGCUUGCUGUUCCUAAGGCAGUAGCCAGGAAGCCCUUACCCCAAAAAGUAUCUGCACUGGAUUCUGGCAUCUGAGGCGAGAUGUCGUUCCUUCUGUCUUCCCUGAUGCAGCAGUGAGUACGUCUCCUCUGGGGGAGUUUCAGAGUGAGGGCCAACCUCACAGUCGUACUUUGAGGAGUGUCAGUCUCAACAAUGGAAUCUCAUCACCAGGCAAAAAGAUGCACACACAGUGACCAAAUGAGCCGAGGGACAGGAAACGUGCGUCUUUGAGCCCUUGACGUUCUCUGUGUUACAUAAAUCAGAUUAUUUAUCCGAAACCCCGAGAGCCUUCACAAUGUGGCUUUUAUGCAUCAAGACCUGAGGCUUUGCUUCCCGUGCGCUGACGAGGCGUCACUCACACGGAACGCGUGACCAAAAUCGCUCAGUGACUGUUUGCACGCGCGUGUGUACGUACUGUACAUAUAGUGGGUAAACACAGCGAGGAAGAUUAAGCACGUGUGUCGUGUCCCGCCCUCUUCUCUGAUGUUGUAAUGUCAUGCUGCGUAGUUCCACAUGUUCAGUUCUGUCUGGUUUUUCCUCUCUUACAUGUUUGUUAUUGUAAUGUUGAUGAAUAAAGAUUAAAUUCAAUUAAGA